rnacentral:rRNA from 1 species
AACGAACGUUGGCGGCGUGGAUUAGGCAUGCAAGUCGAGGGAAUCGCCCGCAAGGGCGGGAACCGGCGUAAGGGGCAGUAAGGCGUGGGGACCUACCCCGGGGUUCGGGAUAGCCGUCCGAGAGGGCGGGUAAUACCGGAUGACCUCGGGAGAGCAAAGAUUCAUCGCCCCGGGCGGGGCCCACGUGAUAUUAGCUAGUUGGCGGGGUAACGGCCCACCAAGGCGGAGAUGUCUAGCGGGUGUGAGAGCACGACCCGCGCCACUGGCACUGAGACACUGGCCAGACACCUACGGGUGGCUGCAGUCGAGGAUCUUCGGCAAUGUGCGCAAGCGCGACCGAGCGACGCCGCGUGGGCGACGAAGGCCUUCGGGUUGUAAAGCCCUGUCGAGGGGGAGAAAGGGGCAACCUUGAUCUAUCCCUGGAGGAAGCUCGGGCUAAGUUCGUGCCAGCCGCCGCGGUAAUAC